UACGAAGGGGGCUAGCGUUGCUCGGAAUGACUGGGCGUAAAGGGCGCGUAGGCGGUUUGGUAAGUCUUAUGUGAAAUCUACAGGCUCAACUUGUAGUCUGCAUGAGAAACUGCCGGGCUUGAGUAUGGGAGAGGUGAGUGGAAUUCCUGGUGUAGCGGUGAAAUGCGUAGAUAUCAGGAGGAACACCUGUGGCGAAAGCGGCUCACUGGACCAUAACUGACGCUGAUGCACGAAAGCUAGGGGAGCAAACAGG
rnacentral:rRNA from 1 species